AACGAACGCUGGCGGCAUGCCUAACACAUGCCAGUCGAACGAGACCUUCGGGUCUAGUGGCGCACGGGUGCGUAACGCGUGGGAACCUGCCCUUAGGUUCGGAAUAACUCCCCGAAAGGGGUGCUAAUACCGGAUAAUGUCUUCGGACCAAAGAUUUAUCGCCUUUGGAUGGGCCCGCGUUGGAUUAGCUAGUUGGUAGGGUAAAAGCCUACCAAGGCGACGAUCCAUAGCUGGUCUGAGAGGAUGAUCAGCCACACUGGGACUGAGACACGGCCCAGACGGAGGGGGGGGGAAGAAGGGGGGAAUAUGGGACAAUGGGCGAAAGCCUGAUACAGAAAUGCGGCGGGGGUGAGGAAGGCUUUAGGUUUGUAAAGAUCUUUUACCGGGGAGGAUAAGGAAAGUACGGGGAGAAUAAGCUCCGGCAAACUCGGUGCCAGCAGCCGGAGUAAUAAUCGAAGAGAAAAUGCCGGAAC
rnacentral:rRNA from 1 species